UACGAGGGGGGCAAGCGUUGUUCGGAAUUAUUGGGCGUAAAGGGUGCGUAGGCGGUUUGGUAAGUCUUAUGUGAAAUCUACAGGCUCAACUUGUAGUCUGCAUGAGAAACUGCCGGGCUUGAGUAUGGGAUAGGUGAGUGGAAUUCCUGGUGUAGCGGUGAAAUGCGUAGAUAUCAGGAGGAACACCUGUGGCGAAAGCGGCUCACUGGACCAUAACUGACGCUGAUGCACGAAAGCUAGGGGAGCAAACAGG
rnacentral:rRNA from 1 species